UACAGAGGGUGCAAGCGUUAAUCGGAAUUACUGGGCGUAAAGCGUGCGUAGACGGUUAUGUAAGUCAGGUGUGAAAGCCCCGGGCUUAACCUGGGAAUGGCAUUUGGGACUGCAAGGCUGGAGUUUGGCAGAGGAGACUGGAAUUCCUGGUGUAGCAGUGAAAUGCGUAGAUAUCAGGAGGAAUACCGAUGGCGAAGGCAGGUCUCUGGGCUAUAACUGACGCUCAUGCACGAAAGCGUGGGGAGCAAACAGG
rnacentral:rRNA from 1 species